CAAUAGCGUAUAUUAAAGUUGUUGCAGUUAAAAAGCUCGUAGUUGGAUUUCUGAUCGAGACAUCAGGUCGGGUCCGAGAGGAUCAUGUACUUUGAUUUUGUUUUGAUCAUCCUUGGGGAGAGCAUUUCUGGCAUUCAGUUGUCGGGAUUGGGAUCCUCAUCGUUUACUGUGAAAAAAUUAGAGUGUUCAAAGCAGGCCUCGGCCUCUGAAUACAUUAGCAUGGAAUAAUAAGAUAGGACUUUGGUGGUCUAUUUUGUUGGUUUGCACGCCAAAGUAAUGAUUAAUAGGGAUAGUUGGGGGUAUUCGUAUUCAAUUGCCAGAGGUGAAAUUCUUGGAUUUAUGGAAGACGAACUACUGCGAAAGCAUUUACCAAGGAUGUUUUCAUUAA
rnacentral:rRNA from 1 species